GACGAACGCUGGCGGCGUGCCUAAUACAUGCAAGUAGAACGCUGAAGAGAGGAGCUUGCUCUUCUUGGAUGAGUUGCGAACGGGUGAGUAACGCGUAGGUAACCUGCCUUGUAGCGGGGGAUAACUAUUGGAAACGAUAGCUAAUACCGCAUAACAAUGGAUGACACAUGUCAUUUAUUUGAAAGGGGCAAUUGCUCCACUACAAGAUGGACCUGCGUUGUAUUAGCUAGUAGGUGAGGUAAUGGCUCACCUAGGCGACGAUACAUAGCCGACCUGAGAGGGUGAUCGGCCACACUGGGACUGAGACACGGCCCAGACUCCUACGGGAGGCAGCAGUAGGGAAUCUUCGGCAAUGGGGACAACCCUGACCGAGCAACGCCGCGUGAGUGAAGAAGGUUUUCGGAUCGUAAAGCUCUGUUGUAAGUCAAGAACGGGUGUGAGAGUGGAAAGUUCACACUGUGACGGUAGCUUACCAGAAAGGGACGGCUAACUACGU
rnacentral:rRNA from 1 species